ACUCGGGGUGAAAGAAAACCAGAUUCACAUUCUCGGAUUAGAUUAAUCCGGGUUUGCUGUUUUGGAAAGUAAUCAAAGCACAAAAGAGGCUUGAAGAGAUGGGCCCCUUCUUGGCCCAUCACCUGUCUCCCUCGGCCUCUAUCAGUCUAUCUGAUUCCUAAACCUUAUCAUGGAUAAAAUCACGCACCCAUAGUUUUCACUUCUCCCCUUCUCUCUUCCUCAGAUCCAUGGAGCCAACUGUUUUUUAUCCGUCUGUCAAGAGGAUGACUCGGUUAUUAACAAGAAUUCUCAAAGAAGCAAACUCAUCGGCAGUGGCGCCACCACCUGAGGCAGUCCCAGGGGAGUCCGACUUCGUGGUGAUUCUAGCGGCCAUGCUGUGCGCCCUUAUAUGCGUGGUGGGCCUCAUAGCUGUAGCCCGUUGUGCGUGGCUUCGGCGUGGCGGCGCCAGCCCUCAGCCGCUGGCGUCUACGGCAGCUAACAGGGGUUUGAAGAAAAAAGUAGUCGAGUCUCUGCCCAAAUUCACCUACACCGCCGGUAGCGAUAAGUUAACAUCGUCGCAGGAGUGCGCUAUUUGCCUGGGAGAGUUCGUUGAAGGGGAUGAAAUCAGGGUUCUGCCAAAGUGCAGCCACGAAUUCCACGUGCGGUGCAUAGACAGGUGGCUGGGUUCCCACUCUUCAUGCCCGUCGUGCCGGCAGCUCCUGGUGGUGGCCAGGUGCCAGAAGUGCGGGGGGUUCCCAGAUGUUGAGACUUGUGAUAUUACUCCUACCGGUGAUCCCAACGACCAUUCCCAUGCCCAUGGGUUGCAGGAUCCUCCUCAGGAGUCGGGAUAAAGUUAGGACCAAGCUCCAGUUCAUCUGGGACGUAAUCAAUUUAUAGCAAAUGCAGGCACAGAUCAUCAGUAUCAGAGUAACUGACAACUACUCUGAGCAGAAACCAUACAAAACUUAGUAUUAAAAGUAACAGAUAAGAAUUUGAACCAAAGGCGGGUGAUGUAUAGCACCUUCUUUCUCAGGCAAUGACGGCUCGGUAAUCUUAUAGCCAGAUUUCAGGACCAUUCCAGGCCACAUAUGAUCUGAAAGAGCAACGAAUAAACGUUCAACCCCUUGUGAAUCACCAUCAACAGAUAGACCUGUCAGAAUCAGCUUCUUCAUCUCAGUAAUGCCAAAUAUCACAAGAAAAAAAAAACAUGGAACUGAAUGAAUGUUAUAGAAGUCCACACUAUAUUUUUCAUGAUUCACUACUGUCAAUUGACAUAAUUGUCUCAACAAAGAUGCAGUAAACUUCUUUUUCA